rfam:Dipodomys ordii contig_65930, whole genome shotgun sequence.
GGUGGCUCAGUGGUAGAGCACUUGCCUUGCAUGCAUGAGGACCUGGGUUCGAUUCCUCAGCACCA